rnacentral:rRNA from 1 species
GCAGAGCAUCCUACGGGAGCAGCAGUGGGAAUAUUGCACAAUGGGCGCAAGCCUGAUGCAGCCAUGCCGCGUGUAUGAAGAAGGCCUUCGGGUUGUAAAGUACUUUCAGCAGUGAGGAAGGUGGGUAUGUUAAUAGCAUACUCAUUUGACGUUAGCUGCAGAAGAAGCAACCGGCUAACUCCGUGCCAGCAGCCGCGGUAAUACGGAGUGGUGCGAGCGUUAAUCGGAAUUACUGGGCGUAAAGCGCAUGCAGGUGGUUUGUUAAGUCAGAUGUGAAAGCCCGGGGCUCAACCUCGGAAUUGCAUUUGAAACUGGCAAACUAGAGUACUGUAGAGGGGGUAGGAAUUUCAGGUGUAGCGGUGAAAUAGCGUAGAGAUCUGAAGGAAUACCGGUGGCGAAGGCGGCCCCCUGGACAGAUACUGACACUCAGAUGCGAAAGACGUGGGGAGGCAAACAAGGAUUAGAUACCCUCGGUAG